rnacentral:rRNA from 1 species
CUGGCGGCAGGCUUAACACAUGCAAGUCGAACGGGUGCAGCAAUGCAUCAGUGGCAGACGGGUGAGUAACACGUGGGAACCUUCCUCGGGGUACGGAACAACUCAGGGAAACUUGAGCUAAUACCGUAUACGUCCGUGAGGAGAAAGAUUUAUCGCCCUGAGACGGGCCCGCGUCGGAUUAGCUAGUUGGUGGGGUAACGGCCUACCAAGGCGACGAUCCGUAGCUGAUCUUAGAGGAUGAUCAGCCACACUGGGACUGAGACACGGCCCAGACUCCUACGGGAGGCAGCAGUGGGGAAUCUUGGACAAUGGGCGCAAGCCUGAUCCAGCCAUGCCGCGUGAGUGAAGAGGGUCUUCGGAUUGUAAAGCUCUUUUGCCAGGGACGAUAAUGACGGUACCUGGAGAAUAAGCCCCGGCAAACUUCGUGCCAGCAGCCGCGGUAAUACGAAGGGGGCUAGCGUUGUUCGGAAUUACUGGGCGUAAAGCGCACGUAGGCGGGCGAUUAAGUC